UUAAAGAUGUCAGAUAAAUGAGUUUAUUUUAGAAAUAAAUAAUGGUAAAUAUUCCUCUUUAAU
rnacentral:tRNA from 1 species